UCUACGGGAGGCAGCAGUGGGGAAUAUUGGACAAUGGGCGCAAGCCUGAUCCAGCAAUACCGCGUGUGUGAAGAAGGCCUUAGGGUUGUAAAGCACUUUCAAUGGGGAGGAAAAAGAGUAAGCUAAUACCUUGCUUAUUGACAUUACCCAUACAAGAAGCACCGGCUAACUCCGUGCCAGCAGCCGCGGUAAU
rnacentral:rRNA from 1 species